GAAGCAUUUCUCAUUAAGUUGCAACACUUGUUUACAAUAAGUUUUCCAAGACUUGGCUCAUUUUACACGCUUUAAAUUACUUUCUCACGCUAACGUACUUACACUGGGCUCAAUGCGGGUGAGACAAACAGUUGCUACACGAGCCUGCCAAGUGUCACGCGCUCAAUGUGGCGUGGACACCGUGCAAUUUCAUUCUGUACGGGUCUGGUGUGCGGCACGUGCACCUGCGGCAGGAUGACAGAGUCCCUGUGGUGGAGUGUUUUGUUUUUUUCCCCCUCUCUCUACAUACCCGCACCGCGCUGGUACUUAGACCUGCUUGUACCCAGCGCGCUGUCACGUUGAGCUCCUCAUGGCCGGGAGAGAGCCGAAGAGCGGAUCCCUGUCGGUGACGUCAGUCGAGCAGACGACCGAGAAUGCCCGACUGGUCGGUCGGUUCCACCCGCCGACGUCCCGAGGCAGACAGACUAAAUAUAGAAACGGCUUCAAAACAACGGAGAGGAGAGGAGGGAACGGGAAGGGGUUGCAGAUAAGAUUUGUUCUAAAUUCCGAUAAGGGGGGGAGGGGGUGUCAACUACUGUUUGCAACUCAUCUUUCCGUUUUCACUUUGUUCUGUGGAGAUUAAACUGUCCGCAUUUCUUAUCAUUUCACACAAGUAGGUGCCAAACUGUGUGGUUUUAAAAUAAUAUUAACAGAUGCGAAUAUCUGAUUACCCCGAACUGUGUGCAUAUAUACUCCCACUAGUGUAGAAAAUUUGCACUCGUUCUCCUUGCCCUAAAAUAUUAAGUUCCUAAUUAAGUUGUUUAAGAAUCAUUGUAACCACGCUGCACCCUUAUAAUUUGCAUUUACAGAUGCAGCAAGUCUGCACCUACUACCACCUUCCUUAUGCAAGAAUCGGAAUUAUGAAGCAUGAGCUUCUCUGACCACAGUUUAUCUGCUGAAAAAUACUCAAGCAAGAAUGCUCAUUUUGCCCCGAGGUACUCGUGUAAGGGUUUUGGAGGGAUAAUUAUGUAGAAAAUUGUUUUUAUUUUUCUGGAAAUGACUGACAAAUGAAUGGCUCUUGUACACAGACAUUUCAUUAAAAAAUAAAUUUAAAAAAAUCAAGUGCUUCUAAAUAUCACGACACCAACUGACUGAACCUGGACAGUCACACAUUAAGUAGAGCUUGGUGAACGUAUACUUGGCUGUCAGAGAAUCUUUAAGGAAAGUCCCUGAUCAGUGAGGAUAUAUUCUACUCAGAUGUUCCCCGUUUCCAGUCAGCAUAGACAGAUUCUCUGAAAGCCAGAAGAAUAAUUCAGGACGUGGCCCAGUUUAAUUUUUAAACCAAACUUUCCGCGUGACCCCAUAUAGAACAUUUAGCUUAUUGCCAGUGAGCGGCAUGAGUAUUUCAAUAUCCAUUUGUGUGAUCAGAUAAAGACAAAUUCAUACAUUUUUCUGCUUUAUAGGUCUGCAGUUACUGAAAUGAAGAUGCAAAGGUAGUAUUAAAAGAAAUGAGUCAUGUGGUAAUGUACGAAGGUGUGCAUUUGUAAACAAAAACACAUUAUAAAUCCUGUAAAAGCACAUCAAUAAUAAUCAAACACAGCAAAGGGAGUAAAGGAUAAUUACAUCAAUUUUAAUAAAUAAUUCUACUCCAGUAUACAAAUUGAUAGCGCCUAAAUUUUUUAAAGUAAUUAUAAUAUUCAUAAGUAACAGUUUUUUUCCCCCCUCUUGUCAUUUUUCUAUACAAAAGCGAAGGUAAGCAACAAAUUGUAUAUACACAUAGGUAGUCCAAAAAUGAGAGAAGUCUAACAGUAGCAACUAAUGAGUUUUGGUGGAAAUAAAAGUGACUCAGCACAAGCAGCAAACA